GAAAAUAUCGUGUACUCUAGACUCGGGAAGAGAAAAUACCAAAACUGAGAAAAUUACUCGAACGACUAUAUGGGAAAAUUCCAGUAAUUGCGACGUCGUCGCGACCAUCUCGCUCCUGGGUUUCAAUUUAAAUCAAUGCCGUCUCGAAAAAUCAAUCAUCGUCCGCUCCGCUGCUGACCGAUAUAUCGCGGCGAAAUUUAUGAACCACGCUCCCAUUAAUCAAUACUAUCGGGUCGCGCUCGUAAAAAUCGCAGAUUCAUUUCUGUUGAAAGGGGGCUCGCGCGCAUAAUUGCAUCCUGGCUACGGAGAAGAAAGGGGUAAAGGGAAGAAGAAAGGAAGAGACAGAGACAGACAGAGAGAGAGAGAGAAAGGAAAGGCUGGGCACAAUUUCGAUUUCCAUACCACAGAGGGAGGGAAUACGACGUCCACUGGUGCGCGGUGGUUGGACUCGCGAGAUACCGGACGAUCAUCUCCGCACGUCCGACGAUUCCUGAUUUAUGAGCCGAGCAACGCGUGCACUUUUCAAAACUUUAUCUCUCCCUACAAAGCUUAGGGUGGUGCAACGCUAGCUUCUCGCGUGUCCGUGCAAUUGCACAGCACUGGCAAUUAUCGCGAAGCCCGAGAGAGUCCUGCGUCGAUCGACCGUACACGCCGCUUUGAAAUCUUUCACCGCCUGUCUCGUGUCUCUUCCAACCCUUCUCUCGUAUUUUCCUCUGAUCGUUUAUAAACGGUUAAGCGACUCGUCAAACGGAUUCGUCAAACGAAGCGCGACAGCGAAGAAAAGAAAUAU
rnacentral:misc_RNA from 1 species